ensembl:lncRNA
CAAAAACAUUGGGAAAGCUCCUUACUCUUUUUUCUUCAAAAACUUGCCUCUUGCUAGCUACCUCUAAAAUUCUACGCAGAGUCUAAGUUCUACCUCACUCUUAAUCGCACCGAUCCCGCAACAGCUUCCAGAGCACAAUUUUUUCCUGCUUGUUCGCUCCCCGCUCUGGUCCCGAAUGCGCUGCUUACCUCGUUUGAAAAUUCCCCCCUUAGACCAACUCCGCCUCACUGCGCCCCGCUGCCAAUCACAUAACCCUUGCACCGCUCCCUUCGCACCCCGGUUAGCCAAUCCACUCCAGGUCUGAUUUUACGAUCUCCCGCUGAUGUUAAGACUAUCUUCGAACCCCCAGAAGACCCCUGCCUUCAGCCAUAUCAACAACUGGAACCGCUCAGACUGCUUGCGACUUCGCAUAGGGAGCGGCCGAUUUCAACAGCAACUUGCGUCUCUUUCCUUAUCCGCAUAUCAUUCGGUAAGUGUUAAUCUUGCUCUCUAACUACAUUUUUGCAUUUUCCUUUUUACCAUUCUGUCAAUCCUUUCAUUUAAAUAAAUAAAUAAAUAUCACAAUGGUUUGUAACAGGUACAAUACACCAUCCAUCCAUCCAUUCGCCUCCACUUAUCCUUUUCUCAGGCUCGCGCAGUGCGCUGGAGCCUAUCCCACGUGCAAUACACUUUAAAAUAUAUAUAAGCUCCACUUUUAACCCCCGUAAAAGUUUAUACAUUACAUGUCUACAUCACCUAUCAUGGCCUCAUCGGGUAUCUCAUUUUUUCUCACUCUUGUUCAUAUAAUGUUUAUAUUUUUACUGUUUGUAAAUACUCGAUGUUAUUUCUUUUCAGACUCUGAGAUAAACCUGCUCAACUCCUCUUUUUUUGAGUCUCUCGAUCAAAUUGAUAUCUCUGACUUGGACACCUUUAUUGGUACGAGUUCCCCGAAUUCUUCACCACCAGUGCUUGUGCGAUCCACAGGAAAGAAUAUUCGUCUCUCCACACGGGACAGAGAGUAUUUGCUCUCUACGCUAGAUCGCCCUGCUUCAUCUGGCCCCAGUUCCAUUCCCGUCGGAGCUUGUUCUCUCCCGCAACCCUCUGGGAAAAACUUGCGCCUGUCCGCCGGGGACAGACCCAGAUGUGUUAACCUGAUCCCUGCGAAACACCAGCUCUGCGUGGAUUUUGACCGCGAGUGACCGGAUGUUGUUUCCGGCCUGAGGUUGCCUGAAAUGCCGUGAGGCUCGUUUGAAAGAUUGCGCCCGAGACCAACUCCGCCUCCAAGGCAUGCCUACCUUUAGCUGCCACCAGUGAGAUAUCAGAGCCGGGCUCCACAUAUCCAAUCAGGAGCACGAGCAAGACAGCUUUUGCAGACUCUCCAGAAAUAUACAAGUCCUUACCAACUGCUCUGCAACCCAGUGUUUCUGGUCCCCUCACUAACAUCGCUUUUUGAGAUAUUUUUUAUGAACCACCAAAAAAGCAAUUUUACCCCACAGACUGGGUCUGAGGGCAGCAGCGGGGACAAAUGAUUGAAGCGACGGACAUUUCAUGGCUGGUCUUGCAUAAUCGUGAGUUAUUAUGUCAUAUGGUGAUAAGUACAUAGUUUUGCAAGAGGCAUACAAGCACUGUGGAAAAAGUAAUCAUAAAACUGUUUUUGUGAACACCCUACGUUAUGCUUUAAAAAAUGUGAUACAUGUAAUGUGAUCAUCAAAGAACAUGAUUUUUUUAAAAAAAAACUUUUAUUCUUAUGCUUUUAAAGUAUGUCAGAUUAUCUUAAAACACUUAUUUGUAUGUUAUAAUGUUUUUCUUACACCAUGUGUAAUUUUUAUAGACACC